rnacentral:rRNA from 1 species
UACGUAGGGCGCAAGCGUUGUCCGGAUUUAUUGGGCGUAAAGAGCUCGUAGGCGGUCUGUCGCGUCGGCUGUGAAACCCCGAGGCUCAACCUCGGGCCUGCAGUCGAUACGGGCAGACUAGAGUGUGGUAGGGGAGACUGGAAUUCCUGGUGUAGCGGUGAAAUGCGCAGAUAUCAGGAGGAACACCGGUGGCGAAGGCGGGUCUCUGGGCCGUAACUGACGCUGAGGAGCGAAAGCGUGGGGAGCGAACAGG